GGGGGUGUAGCUCAGUUGGUUAGAGCGCCGGCCUGUCACGCCGGAGGUCGCGAGUUCAAGUCUCGUCACUCCCG
rnacentral:tRNA from 1 species